CUGAAAGGUCAAAUGAGAUGAAAGUAAAUCAACUUGAUGUUGGCUUCUUAUAGCCUUUCUCUCUCAGAUGAGUGGGUGAUUAAAUCACUGUCAGCAGAGGCCAAACAGGGAUCCAUAGACAAGACAAAUGUUUAUACAGCUGAUCCCUCAUCGCUGGGGAAAAACGCAGAACCUCCGCAUUGUGUUUGCUCAAUUUGAAGGGUAAUGGAACCGCAGCUAAUGUCAACAUGGACAUUUGUGACGAGAGCCAAGAAAGGCCCACACUGAGAUGAUCAGGAUGGCUUUUGUGGUGUUAAAUCGAGAGGAAAAGUGGAUUGGCUGGCAACCGAGAAAAGGCCUGGUCUGGUUUUGUUUGAUAGUUUGGACUGAUAUAUAUUUUCUCAGCAUGAGUAUACUCGGGCUUUCAUUGUCAGAGGCAGAGCAAUCAGAAAAAGACGACCGACCCACUGAGAACCGCAGGUAAGACGCAAUAACCCUCAAAAUAAAGUUUGACGCCUGCACGUCUCCUUUGAAUAUAGAACGGCGACUGGACUCUAGUUCAACUCUGUGGAAAUGAAAAUGAAACUACAGGGAUAAAGACCUGCUCCCUUAGAAUGGCCAACAAAUUGUGGUACGUCACAUGUCCACCAAUCGCCAUUCGCUCAGGUAAGGUGUGGAAAACGGAGAUGUCUUUUUCCUUCAAAGAACCCACUGCCGCAAUUACCACUGCAGUUAAUGGCGACUUCAUAAGAGGCAAGGAAUUUUAAAAGGAGAAAAUUAUAUACUCAGAGCUCAUAAGCUAUAAAUGCAUUCAAAUUACUUUCCCAUAAAUUACUUGUGUCAUCAUUACAAAUGGUUUCAU